rnacentral:rRNA from 1 species
CGCCCUACGGGAGGCAGCAGUGGGGGAUAUUGCACAAUGGGGGAAACCCUGAUGCAGCGACGCCGCGUGGGCGAAGAAGUAUUUCGGUAUGUAAAGCCCUAUCAGCAGGGAAGAAGAAAUGACGGUACCUGAGUAAGAAGCACCGGCUAAAUACGUGCCAGCAGCUGCGGUAAUACGUAUGGUGCAAGCGUUAUCCGGAUUUACUGGGUGUAAAGGGAGCGCAGGCGGCACGGCAAGCCUGAUGUGAAGGCCCGCGGCCCAACCGCGGGACUGCAUUGCGCACUACCGGGCUGGAGUGCCGGCGG